AAUUCAGAAAUUGAAGGAUGAGUGAGUUCAUUCUACCCUUGUUUUUCCCAUAAAAUGAAUGUCUGCCAAACUGGCGGGAGUUUUAUAAGGAUUUACUUUAGAGUUCACUCACGAACCACCUUCUGAUUGAAAGCAUUCUUAGCUUUCUUGGUCUCAUCUGCUGUGAUUUUCUGGUACUCUUCUUCUAAAAUAUUCUGUAAGAUUAGAGAGAGAAGUACAUUGACACUCUAGUACACUUCCCUAAGAACCUACACUACAUCCUGAUUCUGCCUAUUUGGUGCAUUUUCUUUUGUUUAUCUUUUACUUAUUUUAAAUUUCUUUUCCUUAAUUCACAUUGCAUCUCUGUAAGAAUUGGUCUUAGUGAAGCCAUUGUCUUUCUUUUGGUAUUGUAGUGCUGCGAGGGGGCUCAUAAACCACAUGUUGCAUGAAUCUGAGAAGAUGACUGGCCGGAAAUUCAGCCAGAGUUCUUGAACUUGCCUGUUCCAAGCAAUUGGCUUUUAGGACCAGACUGAAAGUUUGUUAUUAGCAUGAUGUUUUAUUAGCAUAAUUAAUACAGACCAUACAGCCAUGCUAAAAAUUUUACAAGAAGUUGAGCUUGUGAUGAGGCUCACGGGAAUCUGAAGAACGUGGCAUCAUUUCUGAUUAUCAUGCGAAUACAUUUUUCCAUAUUCUUGAUUGAUUAGAGCCCUGAAAUAAUUAAAACAUAUUCCCUCUGUAGUAAACUUGUCACCUUUCAGUUUGAGGUUCGAUUUUUUCAUUCUGUUUUUCCCCCCACCUUUGAGGGUCAACUUUCCUACAGCUUGGCCAGGAAUAUUGAGAAGUAUUUAUGGUACUUUUGAGAUGAAAAUGCCUUAAUCUUUUAAUACUAGUGUAUAAUUCAAUAAAAAUGUUGAAGCGAUGAAUUUGUUUGCAUUAUUUUUUCUUCUGUAAAUAAGUUAAUUGACCUUGAAAAUCAUGGAGUGAACCUUUGCGAUGCAAAUGGUGACAAUGACAACUG
rnacentral:lncRNA from 1 species